CCCAGUUUUGCCAUUAAAUACAGAACUUCAUAAAGUUCUAUGGCUUCUCUGGGCCUCAGCUUCUUCAUCAAUAAAAUGGGCAGAGGUGAACCAGACGACCUCUAAGGUUCCUUUAGAUUCUAAAAUGAUGUAAUUUUUAAAACCUUUGAAAUGUUUAUUCAGGUCUUCUCUCCUUGAGGUGUUCUUGGGACCGGAGAUAUUCCAUUUGAAACCCUGAGACAACCAUACCUCAAGCUCAGAGUGCUUAAGAAUUUUCUGCCAGGUGCGGUGGCUCACACCAGUAAUCCCAGCAUUUGGGGAGGCCAAGGCGGGCGGAUCACGAAGUCAGGAGAUCGAGACCAUCCUGGCUAACAUGGUGAAACCCCGUCUCUACUAAAAAUACAAAAAAUUAGCCGGGCGUGGUGGCGGGUGCCUAUAGUCCCAGCUACUUGGGAGGC
rnacentral:lncRNA from 1 species